rnacentral:rRNA from 1 species
GACGAACGCUGGCGGCGUGCUUAACACAUGCAAGUCGAACGAAGUGGCGAACGGGUGAGUAACGCGUAACCAACCUGCCCUUCAGAGGGGGACAACAGUUGGAAACGACUGCUAAUACCGCAUACUGAAGGGGGGGAUGGCGGCUGAUUAGCUAGUUGGGGGGGUAACGGCCCACCAAGGCGACGAUCAGUAGCUGGUCUGAGAGGAUGAUCCGCCACACUGGGACUGAGACACGGCCCAGACUCCUACGGGAGGCAGCAGUGGGGAAUUUUGGACAAUGGGCGCAAGCCUGAUCCAGCCAUGCCGCGUGUCUGAAGAAGGCCUUCGGGUUGUAAAGGACUUUUGUCAGGGAAGCGGUACCUGAAGAAUAAGCACCGGCUAACUACGUGCCAGCAGCCGCGGUAAUAC